UUAGGAGCGACUAGUACUGAAUCAUAAUUGUGUCAAAUUUAUGAUGUCGUAAGGGAAAAUAAUGAUAUUACCUUACUAAUAGUGUCGUCAAAAACUGGUGCCAGAAGACUCGGUAAGGCCAGAGACGCGAACGUUAAUCGUCUUAAUCAGGCGUAAAGGGUUUGUAGGCUGCUUUGAAAAUAUUCAUUUAAUAUAGCGAAAGUAAAUGAAUAUCAAUUAAAGCUAGAAUCUAAUAGAGGAUAUUUACGAAAUAAUGCUUGAUAGAGGGCUGAGAUCCGAAGACAUCAAGUGGAGUUCUAAUGGCGUAGGCAUUUAUCCAUUAAAGAUUGACGCUGAGAAACGAAGGUGAGGGUAGGAAAUAGGAUUAGAGACCCAGAUACUCCUCUCUGUCAACGAUGAAUGGUAGUUUGUUAGUCUCUUAAGACUAGUGACGAAGUUAACACGAUAACCAUUCCGCCUUGUGAGUACGACUGCAAAGUUGAAAACAAAAAAAUUAGUCGGUCCGGCAAGUCAAAA
rnacentral:rRNA from 1 species